rnacentral:tRNA from 1 species
GCAGUGGUGGCUCAGCGGUAGAAUUCUUGCCUUCCAUGCAGGAGACCAAGGUUCGAUUUCCAGCCAGUGCA